GACGAACGCUGGCGGCGUGCUUAACACAUGCAAGUCGAACGGAAAGGCCCUGCUUGCAGGGUACUCGCGUGGCGAAAGGGGGUGUAACACGCGGGUGAUCUGUCCUCCACAUCGGGAUAUGCCUGGGAGACAGGGUCUAUUAUCGGAUAGGAGACCUCUUUAUUGUGGGGGUGGGAUGGUUAUUUGGGGGUAGGAGGAGUUCGCGGGCUAUCAGCUUGUUGGUGGGGGGAUGGGCGACUUAGGCGGGCAUGGGUGGGCGGCCUGUGAGGGUGUAUGGCCACAUUUUGAGAGAGAGACGGCCCAGACUCCUACGCGGGGCAGAAGUGGGGAAUAUUGUGCAAUGGGGGCGAGCCUGAUGCAGAGACGCCGCGUGGGGGAGGAAGGCCUUCGGGUUGUAAACUCCUUUCGCGAGUGACGAAGCGUUGUUGUGACGGUACCUAGAUAAGAAGCACCGGCUAACUACGUG
rnacentral:rRNA from 1 species